UACGUAGGGUGCAAGCGUUGUCCGGAAUUAUUGGGCGUAAAGAGCUCGUAGGCGGUCUGUCACGUCGGCUGUGAAAACCCGGGGCUCAACCCCGGGCCUGCAGUCGAUACGGGCAGACUAGAGUGCGGUAGGGGAGACUGGAAUUCCUGGUGUAGCGGUUAAAUGCGCAGAUAUCAGGAGGAACACCGGUGGCGAAGGCGGGUCUCUGGGCCGAUACUGACGCUGAGGAGCGAAAGCGUGGGGAGCAAACAGG
rnacentral:rRNA from 1 species